rnacentral:rRNA from 1 species
GAUGAACGCUGGCGGCGUGCCUAACACAUGCAAGUCGAACGUGAGGGGGUAGCAAUAUCCCUGAAAGUGGCGAACGGGUGAGUAACACGUAGAUAACCUGCCUCGAAGAGGGGGAUAACGACUGGAAACGGUCGCUAAAACCGCAUGGAACCGGAUUGACGGGAGUUGAACCGGGGAAAACUCUGGUGCUUCGAGAGGGGUCUGCGGCCGAUUAGCUAGUUGGCGGGGUAAGAGCCCACCAAGGCGACGAUCGGUAGCUGGUCUGAGAGGACGAUCAGCCACACGGGAACUGAGAAACGGUCCCGACUCCUACGGGGGGCAGCAGUGAGGAAUAUUGGGCAAUGGGCGGAAGCCUGACCCAGCAACGCCGCGUGGAGGAAUGAAGGCCUUCGGGUUGUAAACUCCUUUUACGGGGGAAGAGGAAGGACGGUACCCCGAGAAUAAGUCACGGCUAACUACGUGCCAGCAGCCGCGGUAAGAC